AAGGUCGUAACAAGGUUUCCAGCAGGCUGAACCUGCGGAAUGGAUCAUUACAAAUAGAGCUGGAUAGGAAGUGGGGUUCUUGAUCUGUAAGUGGUAGAGCGAACAGCCCGGCUCGCCUUCCCCCGAAAAUGGUCUUACAUGUCCCCCCAACAGCCUGAAGGCCGAUUACACCCUGAUUUCUACACUUUUGCUUUCGGGGAUGCUCAAGUGCCCCGAGAGGACCCACUCUCUUGCAUUUCAGUGACGUCUGAGUACUAUAUAAUAUUUUGAAAAG
rnacentral:misc_RNA from 1 species